UUUGAAAUCCCUUGAGGGACUUACGAAAUACAAAUGGCGGCAACGUUGGACCUUGAAACUCAGGAACUUCGAAGGCAGCCUGAUGUGAUUUGGGAUCAUCGUUUAUCGGAGAGCUUCGCCUUGAUCUUCAUUCAACAUAAAGCAAGAGGGUGAUUAGGGAUCUCAUUGCACCAACGAGAGUGGUUUUAGAAAUUAGGGAUUUGAGUUCUACAGAAAGCGAUUGGGUGAUUCAGUCAUUGAGCUUUGGCUUUGAGUGAUAGGGCGAUUCGACUUUGUCUUCAUGCAACAGGUUGUGUGCCCAUAGAACCCCCAAGGUUUUAUUCUAAAAUAAAGCAAGACUUAGUGGCAGCAAUAUGGUUUGGUGGAAGCACUGAUCCUUGAAAAAGUACCAAGAAGAGAAUGAGAGCAUGAAGGAAGGGAAACAACAUUUGAAAGAAAACAAAGCGUACUUGAAAGUAGAGAAUGAGGGCAUGGUGAAAGAGAUUGAGAGGUUGAAGAUAAAUUUGUAGAGCUUAAAGAUUGUGUUGUUUGUUAGUGGCUAUCAUGUAUCUUUUUUUGUACUGAAACUAGUGGAAUAUAAAGUGGGUAGAUAGACCACUAUUGUUGUAAUUUAUGAAACUAUUAUUAUGGAAUAAAGAUAAGUUUUGUUGCUAA